GUGUCAUGUUUGGGGAGCAGAAUAGGAAGGUGGAAACGGACAUAUGGGAAGAAAACGGUAGCCAGAGCCCAAGCGCCACCAAGUUGGCACCAAACCAAAGUCUUUGGAAGAGAAUUACAGCUCUGUCUGAGUGAGGAUAAAGUGAUUGAUGUAGCAUAAAGGUCACAAUGAAUAAACAAAAUCUGAUUCAGAGACUAUGCCAAGCCAGGUGAUAAGAUCUUGAAGAACCAAGAUCCAGAGAGAAGUGAAAGGAAUCAGUGUUCCAUGGAACGGAAGUGCAUCAGGAAAGGAAAGAGAAAACAGAUUCAGACUAAAGCACGUGCCUGACAAUGUGUCUGCUGCAUUGCAUGAGGCAGCCUUGCUGCAGCCAACCAUAGUGGGUGCCCUUGUAGGUCCAAUUAAGAGGCUUAAUUGAAGAAUUCCAAGUUAGCAGACUGUCCUGGCACUCAGAGGAUAUUGUGCCUGGUAAUGAUAGUGUUGAAUUGGACAGAAAGAAUAUUCACAAAGCUUCAAGAAAGGCCUCCUCUGCUAAAAAUGCUCUCUGAUUAGCCAUUCACUGCUUCCUGAACUAUGAAGACAUCUUCUAGGAAUACUCAGGAUCUUCUGCUAUGUGGCUUUAAUUUAUUUUAAGAUUAAUUCCUCAUUACCUUCUUACACAAAGCCACCAUUAGCAUAUCAAGCACAGCUGUACAAAUUUUUAAAAGGCCAAAAGAUGUAUCUGCCAAUUCUAGGAGGAUAUAAACCUGAAGGCACAAAUCUGGGCUGGAGCACAUGGUUUCCCUUGUGAGAAGAAAAAGUCUCCUUCCUCUGAAUGGACACACCUUGCACACCAGGGCACAAGGUUUGUCUAGAAGAGCACAGCUGAACAUCAUAAAGUGCAGAACCACACACCUGGCAUCCUUGUCCCUACACAAGGUAUGUUGCUGUUAAAGUAUAAUUUGUUACUCUCCAAAGCACACUCACAAUUCCCUACUUGGGUCCCUUGUUGCAUGUUACUGCUCCUCAUUUAUGCAUUUGGAUGCUUUCUUAUAUUUUUCCUCAACCUCUACCACAUUCAGUUAGGCACUCAGCCUAUAUUUCAUGUAUACCUAUGUAGCAGGUCUUAUGACCAGAGUUGGGGAUGCACAGAAAUUGCAGAUUUCUUAUUCAUGACAUUACUUCUCAUCCCCACAACUCAAUAUGAUAAUUCCUUUCCC
rnacentral:lncRNA from 10 species